UACACAUAAUACACACAACAGCAGUGAUCAGAGAACUCCUGCAUAUGGCAUGACUUUGAGCUGUAACUGAAGUCUGAUGUGUAUAGAGUGAACAAGAAUGGAAAGAAGAGGGUUAAUUUUUGGAGCCCUGUAUUGCUCACCACCAUAUCUGACACUGCUGGUCAGGUAGUCAAAGUUAAUAUGGGGAAGAGAAGGAUUUCAUAUUGAAUUACAGCUUCCUAAAGAAAAGUCUGGCUUCCGAAAACAAAAAGAAAGAAAAGAAAGACGGGAGAGGGAAAAGAAAGUUCAACAGUAUGCCACCCAAUUUUACACAAAGAAAGGCUCGACAGAUUCAACUUCAGGCCAGCAGCCCUGUCUCCCAUUCCCCAUACUCCCUCAAAUGAACCAGCCCUACUCCCAACAGAAGGAGGU